rnacentral:rRNA from 1 species
CCUACGGGAGGCAGCAGUGGGGAAUAUUGGGCAAUGGGCGCAAGCCUGACCCAGCAACGCCGCGUGAAGGAAGAAGGCUUUCGGGUUGUAAACUUAUUUUGACAGGGAAGAGCAGAAGACGGUACCUGGCGAAUAAGCCACGGCUAACUACGUGCCAGCAGCCGCGGUAAUACGUAGGUGGCAAGCGUUGUCCGGAUUUACUGGGUGUAAAGGUCGUGUAGCAGGGCUGACAAGUCAGAUGUGAAAUCCCGGGGCUCAACCCCCGAACUGCAUUUGAAACUGUUGGUCUUGAGUAUCGGAGAGGCAGGCGGAAUUCCUAGUGUAGCGGUGAAAUGCGUAGAUAUUAGGAGGAACACCAGUGGCGAAGGCGGCCUGCUGGACGACAACUGACGGUGAGGCGCGAAAGCGUGGGGAGCAAACAGGAUUAGAUACCCUAGUAGUC